rnacentral:tRNA from 1 species
GGAGGGGUCGCAUAGCAGGUCUAGUGCACCCAACCGGUUUUCGGGUAAGUUCCAGUUUGACUGGAUCGUACGUUCAAAUCGUACCCCCUCCG